AUUGAACGCUGGCGGCAUGCUUUACACAUGCAAGUCGAACGGCAGCACGGGUGCUUGCACCUGGUGGCGAGUGGCGAACGGGUGAGUAAUAUAUCGGAACGUACCCGGAAAUGGGGGAUAACGUAGCGAAAGUUACGCUAAUACCGCAUAUGCCCUGAGGGGGAAAGCGGGGGAUUCGUAAGAACCUCGCGUUUUCGGAGCGGCCGAUAUCGGAUUAGCUAGUAGGUGAGGUAAAGGCUCACCUAGGCGACGAUCCGUAGCUGGUCUGAGAGGACGACCAGCCACACUGGAACUGAGACACGGUCCAGACUCCUACGGGAGGCAGCAGUGGGGAAUUUUGGACAAUGGGCGCAAGCCUGAUCCAGCCAUGCCGCGUGAGUGAAGAAGGCCUUCGGGUUGUAAAGCUCUUUCAGCCGGAAAGAAAACGCACAAGUUAAUACCCUGUGUGGAUGACGGUACCG
rnacentral:rRNA from 1 species